rfam:Pelodiscus sinensis unplaced genomic scaffold scaffold704, whole genome shotgun sequence.
ACCAGGAUGGCCAAGUGGUUAAGGUGUUGGACUUAAAAUCCAAUGGGUGCGUGUGGGUUCGAACCCUGCUUCUGGUA